UGCAGAGAGUAACUGACUGGACGCUUAGUCACGUCAUAUGAGCUUUUGUGAUGUCACGAGGCCUUUUUUUUCCUGCUGUAUACAUGAACUCAAAAGAAUGUUGGGGGACUGGCCAAACGGGCAAGGCAGGCCUGAGCGAGCCCCGAGAGCGGCCGUGGCGUCCAGAAGGGCUCCGGUCAGCAGGGAGCACACAGACGUCCUAUGAUCAGAUGCCAGAUAAGACCUGCAAUAAGUGGAAAAAAUAAAAAAGUAGAAUUAAAUUGGGGUGAAUCAUGUAAA